rnacentral:rRNA from 1 species
UACGUAGGGUGCGAGCGUUGUCCGGAUUUAUUGGGCGUAAAGGGCUCGUAGGCGGCGUGUCGCGUCGGGAGUGAAAGCCCGUUGCUUAACGGCGGGUUGGCUUUCGGUACGGGCAUGCUGGAGUGCGGCAGGGGAGACUGGAAUUCCUGGUGUAGCGGUGGAAUGCGCAGAUAUCAGGAGGAACACCGGUGGCGAAGGCGGCUUCCUGGACCGACACUGACGCUGAGGCGCGAAAGCUAGGGGAGCAAACGGG